CCUACGGGAGGCAGCAGUGGGGAAUAUUGCACAAUGGGGGAAACCCUGAUCCAGCGACGCCGCGUGAGUGAAGAAGUAUUUCGGUAUGUAAAGCUCUAUCAGCAGGGAAGAAAAUGACGGUACCUGAGUAAGAAGCCCCGGCUAACUACGUGCCAGCAGCCGCGGUAAUACGUAGGGGGCAAGCGUUAUCCGGAUUUACUGAGUGUAAAGGGAGCGUAGACGGUGGUGCAAGUCUGGAGUGAAAGGGCGGGGCCCAACCCCCGGACUGCUGUGGAAACUGGAGCGCUGGAGUACAGGAGAGGUAAGUGGAAUUCCUAGUGUAGCGGUGAAAUGCGUAGAUAUUAGGAGGAACACCAGUGGCGAAGGCGGCUUACUGGUCUGUAACUGACGUUGAGGCGCGAAAGCGUGGGGAGCAAACAGGAUUAGAUACCCGAGUAGUC
rnacentral:rRNA from 1 species